CCAGCCGUGGCGGGAGAGUCCCGCGCAUCAAUGCAGACGCGGGCGCCGUAGGAGCAAACCCUCCCCGGGAAUCUCUCAGGCCCCUGUACCGCCAUGGCGAG
rnacentral:ncRNA from 2 species